CUUCAGGGCAGGGUGAAAUUCCCGAUCGGAGGUAAAGUCCUCAAGUGCUUAGGCAUUGACUUGGUGAGAUUCCAAGACCGACAGUUAAAGUCUGGAUGGAAGAAGGU
rnacentral:ncRNA from 1 species